AUGGUCAUGGGUGAAAUUAGGGACGAUGCCCAGCAGCAACAACUCACCAACACCUGCUCCGACGCCAUGGACCAACAGCAGCAACUGAAGGAUGUGGGUGAGGAAAGCGGACAUGCUCGAUGGACCGACAAGGUGGUGAAGGAUGAGCUUGUUCACUGGAAGAUGAGGAAGCUCACCGACUGCAUCUUCGUCGGCAUCAAUGCCAUCGUGCAUGUCGAUGUCAUCUUCACCAGGAUCAAUGCUCUCGUGCAUGUCGAUAUCAUCGAUAUCAUCUUCAUCGGGACCGACUCCUCUAGGUUGUUGUGUCGUGCUGGAGAUGCUGCCUGCUUCGAGCUGUUGCUGUUGCUGCCUACUUCAAGCCCUCCAGGAGGCGAUCUGGACCAAGUGGGGAGGCUAUCUGUAGCAGUACCUGGAGCUGCAUGGGAGGGCGCGGCGAUCUGGACCUGGGGCUGCCGAUCUGAAGCAGUACCCCCUCCGGCGAGCAGUACCUCGAUCUGA
rnacentral:rRNA from 1 species